rnacentral:rRNA from 1 species
UACGGGGGGGGCAAGCGUUGUUCGGAAUUACUGGGCGUAAAGGGCUCGUAGGUGGCCAACUAAGUCAGACGUGAAAUCCCUCGGCUUAACCGGGGAACUGCGUCUGAUACUGGAUGGCUAGAGUUUGGGAGAGGGAUGCGGAAUUCCAGGUGUAGCGGUGAAAUGCGUUGAUAUUGGAAGGAACGCCGGAGGCGAAAGCGGCGCACUGGAUCUCUUCUGACGCUGAGGCGCGAAAGCCAGGGGAGCAAACGGG